CUGGGACGUACUUUGUGGAGCUACAACGCGCUAGAGCUAGUGCGCCUGAGCAUUUAAACCCGCAGCUAGGCCUCACUGAGGAGAACAAAAAUGUGUCCAAGGUUGGCUACGUUUCUUGCACUGCUUCUUCCCGCUUUUGUUCGUUCUGGUUUUACUGCCGAAGUUCCUGCCUUGUUUGCAUUCGGUGACUCCUUGGCAGAUGUCGGCAACAACAACUACCUUGUCACUCUUGCGAAAGCGAACUUUCCACCUUAUGGAAGAGAAUUUGACACCGGAAAACCAACUGGGAGAUUCACCAACGGAAGGAAUCAAAUCGACUUUCUUGCGGCAAGGUUGGGAUUGCCAUUGCUGCCAGCGUUCAUGGAUCCGUCCACUAAAGGACUUGCGAUGCUCAGCGGGGUCAACUUCGCUUCUGCUGGGUCUGGGAUCCUCGAUAUAACGAAUAUCAAUGUUGGCCAGCUGAUUCAGAUCACCGAGCAAGUGCAAAACUUUGCGAAAGUAAAGGAAGAACUGGUUUCCAUGGUUGGCUCAGCCAAUGCAACCGAGAUGCUAUCCAGGUCUCUCUUUUGCAUUUUCACAGGGAACAACGACUAUACAAUGACAUACCCGUUAACUGGAGCUGUUUCCAAUCUGAGAUUUCAGAACACACUCCUUUCCAAGCUGCUGGAGCAAACCAGAGAACUUUACAACUUGGGAGCACGAAAGUUUGUGAUCGCUGGGGUUGGAGCGAUGGGUUGUGUUCCUGCGCAGCUCGCCAGGUAUGGCAGGAGCUCGUGCGUCCACUUCCUGAACAAUCCCGUGAUGAAGUACAACCGUGCUCUUCAUCGUGCGCUCACCGCUCUCAACCACGAGCUGCCAGAGGCUCACAUCGUCUACUCGGACCUGUACUACCAGAUGAUGUCCAUCGUCCAAGAUCCCGCUCCAUUCGGAAUAAAAAACGUGAACGAUGCUUGCUGCGGUGUGUUUAAGCAGAUACAAAGCUGUGUUCCUGGGGUCCCCGUUUGUAAUGACGCCUCCGAAUACUACUUCUGGGACGCCUAUCAUCCGUCGAGCCGAACUUGUGAAUUCCUGGUGGAGAUGCUCUACGACAAGGGGCCACCUUACAACUUCCCAUUCAGCGUCGAAACACUGGUUCGCAUCUAGCUGCAUUCUUUCAUACGUUUGGUCGAUCAAGAACCGAAAAUCGUAAGACUUUUCCCUUUCAUUUUGUCUCUCUUUUUGUGUGGCCCACCAGCCACUAAGGCAAUUGCUGUGAUGGCUUCCUUUUUGGCUAUGUCAAUUGGGAGUUUCAUUGGACCAGCAGCUUUAGAAGUUGGAGGUUCCUUUUUGACUCGAUUAUUUCUGAACCCGAUCUACAAAGUUCGCAAAACUCUAUUGAAAAAAGAACGAUCCGAUCGAA